AUAAAUUGCAAUUAGAAAUAUCUGCCGAGAACUGGAAGUAUGGAACUAUCCCUGACAGCAUGACUUGGAAGGAAUGGAUUUGCACAGGUUUAUCAGCAAUGGCACAGAUUGGCUGACACUGCAUUUACCAUACAUGCUGACGGGAAAGAGAAGAAGACUAAAUUCGGUAAAGCGCUCCUGUGCGCUGGGAUCGGGCAGCCAGCACAGCCCCUGCUCCUGGGGCUGGAUAUGACACUGCAAACAUGCUCUGUGAUGGCAGCUCUGCCUCCUGCUGUGGGUUACUGAGGUUUUCCAAAAUGACGUAUGAUUAAUUGGGAGGUGGAAAGAACA
rnacentral:lncRNA from 12 species